GAUGAACGCUGGCGGCGCGCCUAACACAUGCAAGUCGAACGAUUAAAGCACCGUCGGGUGUGUAUAAAGUGGCGAACGGCUGAGUAACACGUGUGCAACCUGCCCCUCUCAUUGGGAUAGCCACGGAAAACCGUGGAUACUACCGAAUACUUCGAGACUUCCGCUUGGAGGACUCGAGAAAGCUCCGGCGGAGAGGGAUGGGCCCGCGGCCUGUUGGCUUGUUGGUGGGGUAACGGCCUACCAAUGCAAUGACGGGUAGCUGGGUUGAGAGAACGACCAGCCAGAUUGGGACUGAGAUACGGCCCAGACUACUACGGGAGGCAGCAGUGGGGAAUCGUGCACAAUGGGCGAAAGCAUGAUGCAGCGAAGCCGCGUGCGGGAUAAAGGCCUUCGGGUUGUAAAGCGCAUUCAGCAGGGACGAGGCGAAAGUGACGGUACCUGCAGAAGAAGCCCCGGCUAACUACGUG
rnacentral:rRNA from 1 species